UGCCAAUUAAUUUAACUUGGGAGUCAGAACAUGGGUGAUAAGGUCCGUGUUCGAAAGGGAAACAGCCCAGACCACCAGCUAAGGUCCCAAAAUAUAUGUUAAGUGGAAAAGGAUGUGGCGUUGCCCAGACAACUAGGAUGUUGGCUUAGAAGCAGCCAUCAUUUAAAGAGUGCGUAAUAGCUCACUAGUCGAGUGACACUGCGCCGAAAAUGUACCGGGGCUAAACAUAUUACCGAAGCUGUGGAUUGUCCUUUGGACAAUGGUAGGAGAGCGUUCUAAGGGCGUUGAAGCAUGAUCGUAAGGACAUGUGGAGCGCUUAGAAGUGAGAAUGCCGGUGUGAGUAGCGAAAGACGGGUGAGAAUCCCGUCCACCGAUUGACUAAGGUUUCCAGAGGAAGGCUCGUCCGCUCUGGGUUAGUCGGGUCCUAAGCUGAGGCCGACAGGCGUAGGCGAUGGAUAACAGGUUGAUAUUCCUGUACCACCUAUA
rnacentral:rRNA from 1 species